rnacentral:rRNA from 1 species
AGAGUUUGAUCCUGGCUCAGGAUGAACGCUGGCGGCGUGCCUAACACAUGCAAGUCGAGCGAACCCUUCGGGGUGAGCGGCGGACGGGUGAGUAACGCGUGGGUAACCUGCCCUGUACACACGGAUAACAUACCGAAAGGUAUGCUAAUACGAGAUAAUAUAUUUUAAUCGCAUGGUUAAGAUAUCAAAGCUCCGGCGGUACAGGAUGGACCCGCGUCUGAUUAGCUAGUUGGUGAGGUAAUGGCUCACCAAGGCGACGAUCAGUAGCCGACCUGAGAGGGUGAUCGGCCACACUGGAACUGAGACACGGUCCAGACUCCUACGGGAGGCAGCAGUGGGGAAUAUUGCACAAUGGGCGAAAGCCUGAUGCAGCAACGCCGCGUGAGCGAUGAAGGCCUUCGGGUCGUAAAGCUCUGUCCUCAAGGAAGAUAAUGACGGUACUUGAGGAGGAAGCCCCGGCUAACUACGUGCCAGCAGCCGCGGUAAU